rnacentral:rRNA from 1 species
AGAGUUUGAUCCUGGCUCAGGACGAACGCUGGCGGCGUGCUUAACACAUGCAAGUCAUGGGGGCUCAGCAAUGGGCAACCGGCGAACGGGUGCGUAACACGUGAGCAACCUACCGAGAUGUGGGGGAUAGCCGGCCCAACGGCCGGGUAAUACCGCAUACGAUCAUUUGGGGGAGUCCCCGAAUGAGGAAACUCGUAAGAGGCAUUUUGAGGGGCUCGCGGCCUAUCAGCUAGUUGGCGGGGUAAUGGCCCACCAAGGCGACGACGGGUAGCUGGUCUGAGAGGAUGGCCAGCCACAUUGGGACUGAGAAACGGCCCAGACUCCUACGGGAGGCAGCAGUGGGGAAUCUUGCGCAAUGGUCGAGAGACUGACGCAGCGACGCCGCGUGUGGGAGGAAGCCCUUCGGGGUGUAAACCACUGUUGCCCGGGACGAAUAAGCGAUUUCGAUCGCUCUGACGGUACCGGGUGAGGAAGCACCGGCUAACUCCGUGCCAGCCGCCGCGGUAUAC